UGGCGCCUUAUCUCUCGGCAGGCAGAGGCUGGGAUAAAGUUAUACUGAAAACUUUAAAAUUGAUAGCACACCCUAAUUUGUGUUCCAUUGGGAGGGGGAGAAAAAGAGAGCCAACAACACACAGGGCUCUGCUUACACCAUGAGAAGGGGAGCUCUUGGCUGCAUUGUGGGCUCUCCCAACAUUCAGCUGGGGAUUUCUUGCUGUGUCUUAGCUCUUGCCGGAGGUCAUGCAAAUCGACCUUAAAAGAAUGCAUAAGCCAUAAAUUUAAAUAAACCCCGUAGCCACGGGCUGAUCCAUAACUAGACGAUACCUAACCUGGACAAAACGGCUUCCUUUGAGAGCGGGAAGAAAAGAAUAGUGCCUAAAGUAAACGCAAAGUCAGUUUCAUGAAUUCAAAGGAAACUUACCAGUGAUUUCUGGGUCCCAGGGUUGGUUUUCUUGUGUUUUUAUGGAAGAGAUCAUAGUUCUAAACAUCUAAAAAGAGUAACGUUUUGCAGUGUCAUAUAGUACAGACUAGUAGGCUGGACAAUUUAACAACAUUCCAUGAAACCGCAAGAAUAAAACUUGUGUACAGAUUACAUUUAUGAGCUGGAAGAAGAAAAUAACCUGACUGCCUAACAAGUAUGAGCUAUUUCUGAGUCUUUUUUCAUGCAAGAAUUUAUUUUGACUUCUUUAAUUUAUAAACUGUAAUGAGGCAAUCAGAUGAUGUAUGGACUGUUUUAGACUAAACAAUAUAUUUUUAAUGAAAUGAAGGAAGGUAGAAGUUGGAGUGCUUGAAAUCCUACAAGAGAGCCACAGUGACCCAAUGAAGAGAAUGCUUCAUUCAGACUUCAGAGAACUAGGGAAGAAACAGAUUAACAUUAGUUAAAAAUACUGCAUCUAGGAUUUGUAUUUAUUGAUGUAGUGGCUCUUUUCUUGCAAAGUUCACCAUCCCAGGUGCAGGUGCCUAAAUCUGGAUCCUACCUACUUACUACUAGAAGGCAAUCCAUCUUCAGUCGAGAACUGUAACUGCACCUUGUCUUGUACCAUGUGGUCACAUGAUGAUCAUUCCAGUCCCCAAAAAAGAUACUGAGAAGUGUAGUAAGUAUAGGACCAUCAUGCUAAUUUAUGAUGAUGGUGAUGAUGAUGAUUAAUUAGAUUUAUACCCACCUUUUUUCUUGCAACAAACUCAAAAGUGGCUUACCUCAUUCUCCUCCAGCUGCUCUCAGUCUUAUCCCCACAAAAAGUUCCUUUGGAAGCAAAGUGGUGCUCUGUGUGCUGCAACAAAGAUGUAAAAGUGGAACAAGAACUUAUGUGGAACGAGAAAUGGCUGACAUUCAAGUUGGAUUCUGGUCUUCUGCUCAAAUAUAUGGCCUUCUGGUCAAAUAUAUGAUUCUGUUCUGGUUAAAUAUAU